UUAGGAAUCUUCCGCAAUGGGCGAAAGCCUGACGGAGCAAGACCGCGUGAGGGAGGAAGGCCUUUGGGUUGUAAACCUCUUUUCUCAGGGAAGAAGAAAGUGACGGUACCUGAGGAAUCAGCCUCGGCUAACUCCGUGCCAGCAGCCGCGGUAAUACGGAGGAGGCAAGCGUUAUCCGGAAUUAUUGGGCGUAAAGCGUCCGCAGGUGGUGAUUCAAGUCCGCUGUCAAAGACCGGGGCUCAACCCUGGGUCGGCAGUAGAAACUGAAGCACUAGAGUUCGGUAGGGGUAGAGGGAAUUCCCAGUGUAGCGGUGAAAUGCGUAGAGAUUGGGAAGAACACCAGUGGCGAAAGCGCUCUACUGGGCCGAGACUGACACUCAGGGACGAAAGCUAGGGGAGCGAAAGGGAUUAGAUACCCGCGUAGUCC
rnacentral:rRNA from 1 species